CUUCAUUCCAAACAAACUAAAUAAAUAAAAACUCAUAUUUUCAUUCCACACAUAGACGAAAACCGAAGGUCCUUCUAUCUUUCUCUUCACUACUUUUCCCCUUUUAUUUUCUUUCUCUCUCAUUUUGCUUCUUUUCUCUUUUUGAUUCUUUCUUGCAUGCACUUUACUAUGAAAGAUUGAUUAAUGCUUGCAAAGCCAAAUUUUUCAGAACCCUAACCUUCUCUUCUCACAACAAAAAAGAAUCCAUUUCAAAAUACCAAUUAUUAGUUUAAUCAAUAUCAAUAUCAAGUUUAACAAUUUACCAAAACCAUAGCCAAAACCACUCACAAGAUGCUCGAAACGAUUAAAUACUUGAUCGGUUGGCCCGGUCUAAGAGGAUUUGGAUCCAAAUCCACCGCCGAACAAGUUACCGAAACCCACGGCGAACUUUGUUCAAUAACCGCCAUCAGAUGAAGGGCUGUGAUGAUUUGGAAACUUGAUUGGGGAUUUGAGUUUAGGAAACUGAAUUUGGUUUUGGUUGAUUGUGUCAGGGAACUUUGCUUCUUGCUUCCAUUGUUGUUGGUCUGCUUAGUUAUACUCACUCAACUCACUAAUAAUUAUAUUUAAAGGUAUGAAGUUUUUGUCAUCUUUAAAUUGAAAGAGCAUUGGGUGGUUGGUUCAAUAUAUUAUCAAGUGCAUGUUACUUUAAAACAAGUAUUCUUGAUACUAAUAUAUUAGCUUUACAAUGGUGUCACUUUUAUUAUGUUUCUAAUAUCUUAAUUUUGGUGAAAUCUUAUAGAUCAUUUGAUUUCUUUCUUCCCGUCUCUCUUCAACUACCAGUAAAGGAGCUUCGAAAUUCUUUAAUGUCUCCAAUGAAUGUGUUUCAGAUCAAUGUACGAAUACAUGUUUUUAAAAUACUCAAAACACACUAUUAUACUGUAUUUAUAUAUUUUAGAUUGACCUCCUUAUUUUGUGAACAAAUAAGGUUGAAUUUUAUAGUUAUAUCAUGUAAAGAAAAAAAGACAUUAUCAAGUUUAAUGUUUUUUUACUUGAUUUCAAAUCCCACAAAAAGUUAACUGCAGUGCAUUCGUUUUUAUGUUGGUACCUAAAUGAU